rnacentral:rRNA from 1 species
AUCCGUUGCCGAGAGUCAUUUUAUAUUAAUGUGUCAAAACACAACCCGCACGGAAACCGUCUCCGGUGCCAUGCAGAUGUGCUCAGAGCAAAGUUAAAUUUCCUUGACGCAUUCAGCGUCGGGGUUUGAAUUUUGGCACAGAAGAGAACGCAUUUUGUCGUUCCCCUCCGAUGCCAAUGGCAAGUUGGGGUGUGAAACACCUCAAGCCCACCGCAUGUGUUCAAACUAAUUCACGUGUUGGACUGCAUAUAAGGCAUCGACAAUGAUCCUUCCGCAGGUUCACCUACGGAAAUCGAAUUCCGGCUGCCACUG